AUACUUAGCUGGCAGGGGCAGACAGAUGCCCAUGCUGCAAGAAGGUGGUUCACCCAGGCGAGCUUGAAACCAUUGCACUCCGGUUAUGCGACCCCUGGAAUUCCCCAAAUGUGGGAGGAAUCUCGACUGCAUAAUUUGUGGUAGUGGGGGACUGCGUUCGCGCUCUCCCCUG